GAUGAACGCUAGCGGGAGGCUUAACACAUGCAAGUCGAGGGGCAGCAUAGGGUAGCAAUACUCUGAUGGCGACCGGCAAACGGGUGAGUAACGCGUAUGCAACCUACCCUGUACAGGGGGAUAACCCGGAGAAAUUCGGACUAAUAUCCCGUAAUAAUAUCCGGAGGCAUCUUUGGAUAUUUAAAGUUUCGACGGUACGGGAUGGGCAUGCGUAACAUUAGCUGGUUGGUAAGGUAACGGCUUACCAAGGCUAUGAUGUUUAGGGGUCCUGAGAGGGUGGUCCCCCAACUGGUACUGAGACACGGACCAGACUCCUACGGGAGGCAGCAGUGAGGAAUAUUGGUCAAUGGGCCAAGCCUGAACCAGCCAUCCCGCGUGCAGGAAGACGGCCCUAUGGGUUGUAAACUGCUUUUCCAGGGAGAGAAACUUACGCACGUGUUGCGUGACUGACGGUACCCUGGGAAUAAGCAUCGGCUAACUCCGUGCCAGCAGCCGCGGUAAUACUC
rnacentral:rRNA from 1 species